rfam:Physcomitrella patens subsp. patens PHYPAscaffold_19 genomic scaffold, whole genome shotgun sequence.
GGGGCAGUAGCAUGGAGAGCUGUUCAGACUCUGAGAGAGGGGUGUGGAAAACAUGUACUGUUGUAUCGACACUCGUCGCUCACAGUCUGCACAGCUCUCUGUGUUGCUCCCUC